CAAAGAGUGCAAUCCCUGGAAGGUUAGCACAGCACAUUCAUGCCCUUUGUGUGUUCUGUUGCAGGCAUCCCUGCAGUUUGCUGAGUGCCAGUGCAUCGUGCAGUGCCAGGAGCAGGAAGCCAUGCAGGCUGCAGCACACCUUGGAUGUGAGAGCGAGUGCCUUCCUGGGAAGUGUGGGCCCAGCCUCAGGAGCUGCAGGGCCCAGGCUACUCCUCAGCUUCUGCCUCAGGGAAGCUGCAGCACUCUGUGCCUCGGUCCCACCUGCUCUCUGCUGUCUGGCCACAUGCCCUGCACCUGCCCCGCUCUGCCCCCCAGGUGAGUGCCUGCCUCAGCAUGGACACCAGCACGUCCCAAACAGCAAAAAUAACAUGGAAUUCCUUCAGGGAAGAGCAUCUGCUCAGAGCAUCUGAGAGCAAAUUCCUAACGCCCAAGGUGAAAUAAUUCCUGUAGCUUCGCAUGUGCUGGGUCCUUUCAGAUUUUUUUUUUUGGUGCAAAAAACAAUGUGACAACUAUAAAAUCCUAUAGCCUGUGCUAAGUUCAUCUUACCUCUUCCACAAAUGACAUUCAUGAACUAUUAAGUCUGAAGGUAAGUAGUUUGGUUUUCACUUUUUUUUUGCUGUUUAUCACAUUUGACAGUGAAAAUAGAUUUGUGCUUAGUUGUUGAAACAUUUAAUCAUCUGCUUGAUAUUUGAAUCUUCCUCCAACCUGGCUUUUAUGAUUUUGAUCAGUUUUAUCCACACCGUUUUUCUUCCUUUUGAUUUUGUACGUCUACCUUUAGAUUGAAAUAAAAUACACUGAUUUUUCA
rnacentral:lncRNA from 1 species